CACCGGCCAGAUCCUUUAUCGUAGCUGGUCAUAGACUCCAUGGUCGAUAGCCAUAUCCUUUAUCUUUUCAGGCAUACCUGGUCAUUCUCUGAGUUGUAGCCAUGGUUACGGAUUUUGAGCAUAUGUGUAUCAGCACAAUCACAACCUCUCUGAUGAGUGAAAUCUAGUUAUGAUGUAACGACUUUGGAAGGACAUACAUCUAAGGUUUUUGAUUGUGCUUGGAGUCCAAAAGGGUCUUUUCUUGCAAUUGGGUAAGCAUUACUCCCAGUUUUUCAUUUUAUUGAUCUCGACUAUGUGUACUCAUGUUCAUAUCCCUACUUUUGUUUCUAAUUAUCUUGUAAUUUAUUAACCUUGGAAAUGACAAUCUUUAUAACCG
rnacentral:lncRNA from 1 species